rnacentral:sRNA from 1 species
GGUGUGGUGCGGGGCUUGUUCCGUGGAGCUCAGGGAUGUGCCCCUGCUCAGGCGAACCUGCGGUCUUCCGCGACUCUGACCGCUUCUCCUGGCAUGACCCGCACCUGUGGCGCUCUGGGGACGAGGCACCUGGCCUCUUCUUCGUGGACGCCGAGCGCGUGCCCUGCCGCCACGACGACGUCUUCUUUCCGCCUAGUGCCUCCUUCCGCGUGGGGCUCGGCCCUGGCGCUAGCCCCGUGCGUGUCCGCAGCAUCUCGGCUCUGGGCCGGACGUUCACGCGCGACGAGGACCUGGCUGCUUUCCUGGCGUCCCGCGCGGGCCGCCUACGCUUCCACGGGCCGGGCGCGCUGAGCGUGGGCCCCGAGGACUGCGCGGACCCGUCGGGCUGCGUCUGCGGCAACGCGGAGGCGCAGCCGUGGAUCUGCGCGGCCCUGCUCCAGCCCCUGGGCGGCCGC